rnacentral:misc_RNA from 1 species
CAAUUCUCGAGAGGAAAGGUCCUCCAACCUUCACAUGUGCUGUUGAGAUGAUAUCAAGAACUCAAUGUCGUGUUCACCAUAGACUAGAUUUAACAGUAGAUGCUUUAUUAGCAGGAAAAUCUCCUUUGUUUGAGAUACGGGGAUUGGAUAGUGAAGCCGAAAAUUCGAUCGAGUCUUCUCCUUUCACUCAAGAGGACGAUGUUAAUGACUUUGAGCUAAUUGAUAAAGUAGAAAAGAAGGAUAAAAUGGAGUCUGAUAGGGAAUAUAUAAAAAAGAAACCUAAAGUGGAGUCUGAUAUGGAGUAUGUAAAAAAGAAAGACAAAGUGGAGUUUGACAUGGAGUAUGUAAAAAAGAAAGUUAAACUAGAGUCUGAUAGGGAGUAUGUAAAAACGAAAGAUAAAGUAGAGUAUGUAAAUUAUAGUAAGCAAUCCAGUAAAGAAGACAAAAAGGUACAAUUUGAAUCAGACGAGGAAGAUGAUGAUCAUCCCAAUUCCAAG